rnacentral:misc_RNA from 1 species
GAUGAAGAACGUAGCGAAAUGCGAUACGUAGUGUGAAUUGCAGAAUUCAGUGAAUCAUCGAAUCUUUGAACGCACAUUGCACCUCUCGGUAUUCCGGGAGGUAUGCCUGUUCGAGCGUCAUUUGUACCCUCAAGCUCUGCUUGGUGUUGGGUGUUUGUUCCGCCUCUGUGUGUGAACUCGCCUCAAAACAAUUGGCAGCCGGCUUACUUGUUUCGGAGCGCAGCACAUUUUGCGAUCCAGAUCAACGUACAGCGGCAUCCAAGAAGCCUUAUUUAACGCUCUUGACCUCGGAUCAGGUAGGGAUACCCGCUGAACUUAAGCAUAUCAAUAAGCGGAGGA